rnacentral:lncRNA from 1 species
UUAAAACAACAAUAAUUUAGGACGAAGGGAGUAUAAUAUUAUCAAACAUUGUCAGGUAUUGCGCAUGGAACUUCAAAUCGAUAAGCACAAAUGCGACUUGUUGAUUCGUCACCCACCUCUACAUAGAAAGUUAGAAACUAACCUCUCCGGUGAUUGUGACCGUGGUUGAGAUACAAAUAAAAAAUAUUUCAUCUCUGCUAUAUGCACAAAAAAUGCUAGAAACAUAACCGUAUCUUUGAGGAUCCUGUUCCUAGACCUCUACAGUUACUAGGCUCUUUUUGACUUUUACUCUACUGUUUCUAUUCUCAUCGGCCACAUCCAUCAUUGCUGAUGUAGAGGCUGAGGAGUUGGGAUAAUUUCUAUUCCAUCAUCUGAAACCUCUAUAUAGAACUGUAUAGAUACCCUACUCCCUC